rnacentral:rRNA from 1 species
UGGAGCUGAAAUCAGUCGAAGAUACCAGCUGGCUGCAACUGUUUAUUAAAAACACAGCACUGUGCAAACACGAAAGUGGACGUAUACGGUGUGACGCCUGCCCGGUGCCGGAAGGUUAAUUGAUGGGGUUAUCCUCGCGGAGAAGCUCUUGAUCGAAGCCCCGGUAAACGGCGGCCGUAACUAUAACGGUCCUAAGGUAGCGAAAUUCCUUGUCGGGUAAGUUCCGACCUGCACGAAUGGCGUAAUGAUGGCCAGGCUGUCUCCACCCGAGACUCAGUGAAAUUGAACUCGCUGUGAAGAUGCAGUGUACCCGCGGCAAGACGGAAAGACCCCGUGAACCUUUACUAUAGCUUGACACUGAACACUGGUCCUUGAUGUGUAGGAUAGGUGGGAGGCUUUGAAGUGUGGACGCCAGUCUGCAUGGAGCCAUCCUUGAAAUACCACCCUUUAAUGGCUGGUGUUCUAACGUGGGCCCGUAAUCCGGGUUGCGGACAGUGUCUGGUGGGUAGUUUGACUGGGGCGGUCUCCUCCUAAAGAGUAACGGAGGAGCACGAAGGUCAGCUAAUCCUGGUCGGACAUCAGGAGGUUAGUGCAAUGGCAUAAGCUGGCUUGACUGCGAGCGUGACGGCGCGAGCAGGUGCGAAAGCAGGUCAUAGUGAUCCGGUGGUUCUGAAUGGAAGGGCCAUCGCUCAACGGAUAAAAGGUACUCCGGGGAUAACAGGCUGAUACCGCCCAAGAGUUCAUAUCGACGGCGGUGUUUGGCACCUCGAUGUCGGCUCAUCACAUCCUGGGGCUGAAGUAGGUCCCAAGGGUAUGGCUGUUCGCCAUUUAAAGUGGUACGCGAGCUGGGUUUAGAACGUCGUGAGACAGUUCGGUCCCUAUCUGCCGUGGGCGCUGGAGAAUUGAGGGGGGCUGCUCCUAGUACGAGAGGACCGGAGUGGACGCAUCACUGGUGUUCGGGUUGUCAUGCCAAUGGCAUUGCCCGGUAGCUAAAUGCGGAAGAGAUAAGUGCUGAAAGCAUCUAAGCACGAAACUUGCCCCGAGAUGAGUUCUCCCUGAC